rnacentral:tRNA from 1 species
GGGGACGUAGUUCAGUUGGUUUAGAACGUCAGAUUGUCGAUCUGAAGGUCGCGGGUUCGAGCCCCGUCGUCCCCGCCA